UACGUAGGGGGGCUAGCGUUGUCCGGAAUCAUUGGGCGUAAAGAGCGUGUAGGCGGUCCGGUAAGUCCGCUGUGAAAGUCGGGGGCUCAACCCUCGAAUGCCGGUGGAUACUGUCGGGCUAGAGUGCGGAAGAGGCGAGUGGAAUUCCUGGUGUAGCGGUGAAAUGCGUAGAUAUCUGGAGGAACACCGGUGGCGAAGGCGGCAUCCUGGACCAAUAUUGACGCUGAGGAGCGAAAGCUAGGGGAGCAAACGGGG
rnacentral:rRNA from 1 species